AGCCUGUUCAAUGGGCCCCAGCAGCCUGUGCUCUACUUGAUCCUGCUCUCCUCUCCAGCAGCUGCCUCAGCCUAUUUUAGCUGGGUUUCCUGUGGCAAUUCAACCAGAACUUGGGAGUUGGAGCUGCAAGUUGCCACCAUCCAACCUCCCCCUCACGCUCUAAAGCCCCAUCCCAGUGGCAUGCCAGAACUUUCCCUGGGUUUGCUCAGCCCAGAGCAGAGGAGCUGAGGGGAGGCCUCAUGGCGGCUGCGGCUCCUCACAGAGAGUGGAGGGGCAGCGCUGAGCUCUGCUCUGUGUGACAGCAACAGGGCCCGAGGGAACGGCAUGGAGCUGUGUCAGGGGAGGGGGGACAGGUUGGGGAUUGGGAACAGGUGCUUCAGCAGAGAGCGAUGGGCAUGGAACGGGCUGCCCAGGGCUGUGGGUACGGCCCUGAGUGCCAGAGUUCAGAAAGUAGACAGCACACUCAGACAUUGGAUUUGGAUUUUGGGUGCUCCUGUGUGGAGCCAGGGGUUGGACUCAGUUAUUCUUAUAGGUAAUUUCCAACUUGGGAUAUUCUCUGUUUCUAUGAGCUGUCUCUCCAGAGCCCAGCCGUAUGCCCACUGGUCACCUUUAUUCUGCCUUUCCCACAGAUCCUUCUGCAUUGCUCCGAGUAAGCCCAGGUGAACACAUUAACAUAGCUAUCUUCCCUGCACACUGGCUCUUUGGAAUCUGAACAGACUGCAAUGUUCUCAGAUGUGUCUGUGCUUCAGUGGAUUAUUUUUGAAUUUAUUCGACAAAUAAUUCCUGGUCUGUACCCUGACUCACUGAGUGCUGAACUUCUCUUAAGUAAUGCAUGCUAAUCAUCAUCUGUUCUGCAUUUUAUAGCUAGUGGUGGUGAAAGAUGAAAGCCCAGCAUUGCCUAUUAUACUGGGGCUACAGUCAGAUAUAAAAAAAAAAAGUCCUCCAAGAUGACAUCUGUUGUAGCCAAAGUUCAUAUAUUCCUUCAUGAAAAUUCAACUACAUUAAAAAAAGAGAGAGAGAGAGAUUUGCAAUAGAUGGAGGAUGAUUCAUGCUUAAAUACACAGCAGAAUGCCACUCACUCUUUCCCUUAGUCCUUGCUGCUUUGUGAGUCCAGCCAGGGAAGAUCUGUGAUCAGUGCUAACAAAUGUACAUUUUCUCAUCUUGCCCUUCAGCAUUUCAUCAGAGGUAACACUAAAGUCUGGUGCUCUUUUGACAUCACACAAAUUGCAUUCUCUGUCUCUGUUCUCCUCUCCCAGCCUGUUUUAUCUUUCGGUGCUCAGCAGAUCUUCACAUGCAGCUAAAUGUUUAGCUGCAAAAAAUGAAGCGUAUGGAGGAUAUGCAUGAAUACAGAAAGUAGCAGGACUGUCACUGAAUGGUCCUUUUUGGAGAAAUUGGCCUCAUUUCAGUGGGUAGUGAACAGCUGCCUCCCAGCUGAGAUUUAUCAGCUAAAGGCAAGGCAACAACAAAUGUAGCAGAAGGAAGAGGGAGAGCUGUGAAAACUGGAGGGCUUCUUUCUGGCUGUGUUCUGGCAAUGACUUGGCAUUACGGACCAGACGAGGAUGCUCAGGCCCGUACAGCUAGCAGGCCUACUCACAGCAGCAUCGCCUGCUGCGAAGGGUUGACACUGCUGGUUCCAAGUAGUAAAAGAAGCAAAAGCUGAAACAUUGAGAUGAGUUCCCAGGCUGACUGAUGUCUGGCACAGUGUCCUGUAUUCCUGAGCUGCAGAAGUAGGUGAGAAAUUUAUGCAAGAGACUGUAACAUUUCUGUCCAGGUAGCAGGUGCUUCCUUGGGCAGAUCCUGGCUAACGGCUGCUGGGCAAGAGAGUUUUCCCAUUGCUUUUGGUCAUUGUAAUCCCUUGGUACCUUGGUUGGAGUUUCCUGCUCCACAUGCGCAAUGUCACCAGCUGACAUAGAAUCUGAAAAGAUGUGCUGGACCAGGGGAGGAGAAAAGGUGCUAUUGCAACCAUUGGCAUCUUCUUCUUCAAACGCCUGCAAAGUGAGGCAGGACUGUCCUUCCUUUCUUCUUCAUUACAUGUUUCUGAAGACUACAACUUACUGUAAUUCAGAAUGAAGCUAUUCAAGUUUUGUGGGGGAAGAUUAGUGUGCUAAAACACUCGCACACCUCUAAGACAGCUGCAGCUGGAUUGUCAGUGAGCUGAUGAUGGGAGACAGGAGGUUGUGAGAAUGAAACAGGGAAUGUGACACCUCUGGAGGUAUCCAACAGGAACUGUGGAAGGAAAAAGCUGGGCCUGGGUUCCCACAGAUGGAAGAGCCAGUGGGAAGGCAUUAGGAGGGGAGCACACAGAAAUGGAUACCAUCCACCAUUGCCCAGAGGAGUUGGGCUGAGAUUGUGUGAGACACAUUUCUAACAUCCUGCCUACCUCACCACUUAAACUGGGAGUUUUUGUCUGCUGGAAGCAAAGUGACACUAGCAAAUGCCUAGUUGUUUUGUGUUGGUUUUUCUUCCUAACCGUGUCAGAUUUCGUGUACUUGUGAGUUUCACAGCAGGGCUGAAUCCUCAGGGGGACACCUGAGCUGGGAUCCCGCAAGGCUUCAGCCAAGUCAAGGGCUGCACCACCACACACGUCACACUGUGCAAGGGAACCAGGGCGCUGCACAGGAACCGUGGAGACUACUUGGAAGUUAAGUUCUGAUUUUUUGCCCUUUCACGUCUCAGGACGUUCUGAGUCAUGAAAAUCAUGGAGUAUUACUGAAUUGCUUGAGUCCAGGUGACGGAAACCUGCUGCUUCUGCUACAUUUUAAGGGAAAAGAAGGAAAUAGAAAGGGGAUCUGUAAUGAUGAAGAAGCCAACAAACUACCUUCUCAACUGGAUGCCAGAAGAAUCGAGGGCACAG